UCUACAGUGAACAUUAUUUACUUUUAAUGCAAUUGAUUGAAGCAUGACUUAUAGGGGUAGUUCACCCAAAAAUGAAAUGUGUCAUUUACUCACACUCAACUUGUUUCGAAUUUGUUCUGUUGAAAAGAUGUUUUGCCUAUUUUCUUCCUAGCAAAACAUCAAUGUAUGUGCCAAAGUAGAAUUCAUCAACUUUAGCCUUGAUCUCUUUGAUCAGCUCAUCGUCUCUACACACCCUAUUCUACAUUGAAGUCAGCCCUUGUAUUUGUGACCAGAUCACACCAAGCUAAGCCAGUAACCAUCAGCUGACCUUGGACUUGCCAAUGGGCACUUAACUUCUACCAGGCCAUAGGAAGGUUCUUCAUUUGGGUGCACCACUUUGCCAUCUGGACUUGCACUAAGAAACGAUGCAUUGCUUUGGUGUGGGGGGCACCUUUAAUGAUCCGGCCAGCCUGUGUCAUUGCAGUGGAUUCGGACCUCACAUGAGCUGCUUCAUAGAACUUGCUUGCUAUGUCACCUCCAGACUCCAGGCAUAUGCAGGAGUUCAGCGCAGCUGUCAUCGACGAAAUUAUAUGGUGGAAGCUUGUAUUGUGGGACAGGUAAUGGGGGGAAUUGUGGAGCAUUUGGAUUUGUAAGUACAUCCUUUGACAGCACAGCUGGACACUGGUAUGACAACAGUGAUCCUUUUGGGACCUCUCCAAAUUUAGAAGACACCAUGGUUAGAGCAGACAUUCCAUCAACUAGCUUCGCUAUCAGUGGUUGUGGACAACGGGAAAUGAGGGAUGCUGCUCCAGCAAUGACAUCAUUGUCAGGUAAAGGUUCUAAAAAAAGUUCAUGCCUCAGUGUUUUAAUUGUUACCUAAUGUGAAGAUGUGUUUUAUUAGUAUUUGGCAGUGGUGGGCCGUCAGGGCCAGCAAAGCCUUCUCUGUCUCUGUCUAAGUCAGAAUCACUGAUUUAGUUUAAUAUAUUUUUCCAUGAAUGUGUAUCUUUAUUUGUUAAUGGUUGGCAAAUUAAAGUUGUUAAAAACUGACGAAUGAGGUUUCUGUCUUUAUAUUUACCUGGGUUCGGAGCCUAUGCCAGGCCUGCUGUUUGCUUGUGCAUGCAAGGGCAGCUGGAACAUUUUUGGUUCCAAUUGUACUAAAAUGUGCUGUCUGGUAAAGUAACCAGAUGGUUGC
rnacentral:lncRNA from 1 species